rnacentral:lncRNA from 1 species
AUAUUAGAGUGGAUUGUGUACAGUUAUUGAAUUCAUAUGGUGAAUAGCAUAGUAUUUCUUGUAUGAAUUAUAAGAUUAAUACAUUAAUAGUGACUUUUGAGUGGUAGAGUGGAAGUAUUUACAUGUAUUUUAUGGCCAGAUAUUGCAGAUUAUAAAUGGAACGCAAAACAACGAGGUUGGAACGCACAUUACUUCCGGUUCCGUCAACGUGGUUGGAACGCAUGCCACUUCCGGUUUAUUCAACGCAGUCGGAACGCAUGGCACUUCCGUGCCGGUAGUUGUCGGAGGACUAUUGAACAAUUCCGAAAUCAGCUGUGAACACUUGGAGCCGCGAUCGGCAACAGAUGAACCCUAUUAAUGGAGGACCAAUGAGGAGAGUCUGAGGAUAACAUGUGACUAAAUUAAGAUGAGGGAUUAGCCCUAUUUAAAGGACUUUUCGGGUGGGGAUUUGUUAGGCUGUUCUUUGAUUGUAUUGUAUCAAAUUGUUUCUUAAUAUUGUGGUCCCUGAGGAAGUCCCUAUUUUGUUAAAGGGACGAAACGCGUAGGACCUUAUUUAUAUUUAUUUUAUUCCUUUUUAAACAUAUUUUAAUAUUGAAUUAAAGCCAAUUUUCCAAACUUCACCCGGAGUCCUGUGUUGGAGUGAAAACAUCCAGGGGAUUUCCCUAGGCCCCCCAUACUAUCGGGGAAGGCACCUUACAAGCUUCAAUUUGUCCAAAAUCCAGUGAGUGCAUUUCAAUUUGCGCAAUGUCUAUACUGUAAACUGUAUUACACUAUAUUCUAUUUACUUUUGUAGAGAUUAUCAGCCGGUUCCCUCGUUGUUUUUUCUACAUUUUGCUGUCAAGUUGAUCGCUAGCUGGGAAGCGAUCUGAGGGAGGCUGUAUUCAUCUUCAUUUGAUAAGUAUCUUUUGCAUAUAUAUUAAGGUGUAUAAGGUACAUUAUUGUUGGUUGUUUUUUAAUAUAUAUGGUAAUGUCUGAUGAAAGUAUUGGCAAAGGACCAAGUGGCAGCUCUACAAAUCAGUUUAGGAGAGACCUUGGCGGAUGAGGCCCAAGAGGAGGAGAGGGAUCUCGUGGAAUGAGCUUUGAGUCCAUGCGGGACUGGAGCUUUUGAGGCCUGAUAAGCUUGGAAGAUGGCUGAUACAAUCCAUCUGCUAAUGGUAGAUUUAGGAGCCUGACUGCCCUUUCUACAUCCGUUAUAAAAGGACAAAGAGGCCUGGAGAUGAACGCCAAGGGGCGGUUCUGUCAAUGUAGAUUCUGAGGCAUCUCACCAAAUCCAAGGAGGAAAGAUCUCCUUGUGGAACUGGAUGCAGAGCUGGGAGAACAAUUUCCUUAGGCCAAAAUUCUGGGAUAGUACGAAGGACGACCCUGUCCUUAUGGAAGACUGUGAAAGGCUCCUUGACAAAGCAUAAAGUUCUGAGACCCUUCUGCCUGAGGCCAAAGCCACCAGUAAGGCAGUUUUAACAGAGAGGAAAUGGAAAGGCACUGAAUCCAAAGGUUCAAAGGGGUGAGACUUUAGAGCUUGGAGAACCAGAGGCAAGUCCCAAGGUGGAGCGAACGGCUUAAUCGGAGGUCUGAUUUUUAGUACAGCUUUAAGAAACCUGGCCACGUCCGAAUCAAAGGUCCAUUUAUGGUUAGUUAAAGCCGACAAGGCAGAUACGUGAACCUUCAAGGUGUUGUAGCUCAGACCCUUCUUGAGGCUGGACUGAAGAAAGUCUAAGAUAUUGAAGGACCCUGGAUCGAGACAUCCCUCGAGGAAGCCCAGGAAGAGAAAACAUCCCAGAUUCCAUAGUAUGCGUUCGAAGUGGAACUUAGAAUGGGAAAAUUCAGGAGGAAAUCACCAGUAGCUGGAAAGGGAGUCCCUCCCCAUGGCUAGAGGAUCAUUGUCCUUCGUGAAGAAACACUCCACCUUCCUGUUCUUUCGUGUCGCAAACAAGUCUACUUGAGGAAGGUCCCAUCUGUCCACUAUCAUUCGGAACACAUCAUCCGACAUAGACCACUCUCCCGGAUCGAUUCUGGAUCUGCUGAGGAAAUCCGCGAUCUGAUACUGUUUCCCCGGGAGAUUAAUUGCUGUGAGGCCUGCCAGGCGUCGUUAAGACCAUGACAUCAACUGAUGCAUAAACACCAUCAUCCUGCGGCUCCUAGUGCCACCCUGAUGGUUGAUGUAGGCUACCACCGCAGCAUUGUCUGACCGAAUCUUCACCCAAAGGUGACGAAUUAACGGAGAGAAAUAUUUCAGUGCUUCGAGAACAGCAAAGAGUUCCAGGAGAUUGGAAGGCAAGUUGUCCGCAGGGAACUUCCACUCCUCUUGCGCAAAGUCGCGUUGACAAUGGACUCCCC